CUUCAACGAACCCAGCCACAACGGCUGCUCCUGGGAGUGUUCGGCCCCAUAGGUGGCCAGCAACGCCUGCGCCUC
rfam:Streptomyces bungoensis strain DSM 41781 genomic scaffold PRJNA299233_s047, whole genome shotgun sequence.